UACGUAGGGUGCAAGCGUUGUCCGGAAUUAUUGGGCGUAAAGAGCUCGUAGGCGGUUUGUUGCGUCGGCUGUGAAAUCCCGAGGCUCAACCUCGGGUCUGCAGUCGAUACGGGCGGACUGGAGUUCGGCAGGGGAGACUGGAAUUCCUGGUGUAGCGGUGAAAUGCGCAGAUAUCAGGAGGAACACCGGUGGCGAAGGCGGAUCUCUGGGCCGAUACUGACGCUGAGGAGCGAAAGCGUGGGGAGCGAACAGG
rnacentral:rRNA from 1 species